rnacentral:rRNA from 1 species
CAAGGUCUCCGUUGGUGAACCAGCGGAGGGAUCAUUACUGAGUUUACCGCUCUAUAACCCUUUGUGAACAUACCUACAACUGUUGCUUCGGCGGGUAGGCCGUCCCCUGAAAAGGACGCCUCCCGGCCCGGACCGGACCCCCCGCGGGACCGGACCCGGCGCCCGCCGGAGGAUAACCAAACUCUAUUGUAACGACGUUUCUUCUGAGUGGCAUAAGCAAAAUAAUCAAAACUUUUAACAACGGAUCUCUUGGUUCUGGCAUCGAUGAAGAACGCAGCGAAAUGCGAUAAGUAAUGUGAAUUGCAGAAUUCAGUGAAUCAUCGAAUCUUUGAACGCACAUUGCGCCCGCCAGCAUUCUGGCGGGCAUGCCUGUUCGAGCGUCAUUUCAACCCUCAAGCUCUGCUUGGUGUUGGGGCUCUACGGUCGACGUAGGCCCUCAAAGGUAGUGGCGGACCCUCCCGGAGCCUCCUUUGCGUAGUAACAUUUCGUCUCGCACUGGGAUCCGGAGGGACUCUUGCCGUAAAACCCCCCAAUUUUCCAAAGGUUGACCUCGGAUCAGGUAGGAAUACCCGCUGAACUUAAGCA